GAAAUGCGAUACUUGGUGUGAAUUGCAGAAUCCCGUGAACCAUCGAGUCUUUGAACGCAAGUUGCGCCCGAAGCCAUUAGGCCGAGGGCACGCCUGCCUGGGUGUCACACAUCGUUUCCCCAACGCAAUGCCCUCAUGGACCCUAUAAACGGAGCGCACGACGCUUCUACCGCGACCCCAGGUCAGGCGGGACUACCCGCUGAAUUUAA
rnacentral:misc_RNA from 1 species